GUCUUCUUAGCUCAGUUGGUAGAGCGCUGGUCUCAUAAUAAUGACUCGGAAGAGACACUUACCGAGAGAUCCAGAGGUCGACAGUUCGAGCCUGCCAGAGGACA